ACGUAGGGUGCGAGCGUUAAUCGGAAUUACUGGGCGUAAAGCGUGCGCAGGCGGUCUUGCAAGACAGUGGUGAAAUCCCCGGGCUCAACCUGGGAACGGCCAUUGUGACUGCAAGGCUGGAGUACGGCAGAGGGGGAUGGAAUUCCGCGUGUAGCAGUGAAAUGCGUAGAGAUGUGGAGGAACACCGAUGGCGAAGGCAGCCCCCUGGGACAUGACUGACGCUCAGGUACGAAAGCGUGGGGAGCAAACAG
rnacentral:rRNA from 1 species